CCGAGUUUACAACUCCCAAACCCAAUGUGAACGUUACCAAACUGUUGCCUCGGCGGGGUCACGCCCCGGGUGCGUAAAAGCCCCGGAACCAGGCGCCCGCCGGAGGAACCAACCAAACUCUUUCUGUAGUCCCCUCGCGGACGUAUUUCUUACAGCUCUGAGCAAAAAUUCAAAUGAAUCA
rnacentral:misc_RNA from 1 species